ensembl:lncRNA
CCGUGGAAAAGUUUCACCCAGGCGGUUUGCCCUUUGUGUGCAGACUGAAAGACCGAUGCAGUGUUACCACUGACUGUGUGCUAAAUUGCAGAAAGCCGAUCCCGACCUGGACUCCGCCCCACCGCGACGCCCACAGCCAGUAAGGCAGGAGGAAUCUGCAGUUUUAGGGACACCUCCUCACAAUGAAGCGGCCCAGCCUACGCCACUCUCCGAACCUGUCAGAACUGAGCCACCAACCCCCACCGAACUAUUCUCCAGCCAUCCUAGCUUCACCAG